rnacentral:rRNA from 1 species
UACAGAGGUCGCAAGCGUUGUUCGGAUUCAUUGGGCGUAAAGGGUGCGUAGGCGGCGCGGUAAGUCGGGUGUGAAAUCUUGGAGCUUAACUCCGAAACUGCAUUCGAUACUGCCGUGCUUGAGGACUGGAGAGGAGACUGGAAUUUACGGUGUAGCGGUGAGAUGCGUAGAUAUCGUAAGGAAGACCAGUGGCGAAGGCGGGUCUCUGGACAGUUCCUGACGCUGAGGCACGAAGGCCAGGGGAGCAAACGGG